AAAAAUACAAACUGUGGGUUCCCGUGCCAACGUUUGACCGUCCGUCUUAUAUGAAAUUGUUUUAUAAUUAGUAUUUUCAUUGUUGUUAGAUGAUAAAACAUAAUUAAUACUUUAUACGUGACUUAUCUUUUAAAUUUUUUUCAUAACUUUUUCAAAUAAAACGAACAGUCAAACGUUGGACACGGAAACAAGGGUUUGUCUUUUU
rfam:Oryza sativa (indica cultivar-group) chromosome 8, whole genome shotgun sequence.